rnacentral:rRNA from 1 species
AUUGAACGCUGGCGGCAGGCCUAACACAUGCAAGUCGAGCGAGCGGCGGACGGGUGAGUAAUGUAUGGGGACUGCCCGAUAGAGGGGGAUAACUACUGGCAACGGUAGCUAAUACCGCAUACUAUCGGAUAACCCAUAUGGGAUUAGCUAGUAGGUGAGGUAAUGGCUCACCUAGGCGACGAUCCCUAGCUGGUCUGAGAGGAUGAUCAGCAGGACUGAGACGUAGAAACGGCCCAGACGCAGACGGAGGAAGCAGUGAGGAAUAUUGAACAAGGGGCGCAAGCCUGAUGCAGCCAUGCCACGUGUAUGAAGAAGGACAUAGGGUUGUAAAGGACUAUCAGUCGGGAGGCGUUACCGACAGAAGAAGCACCGGCUAAAUCCGUGCCAGCAGCCGCGGUAAUAC